UGCAGUCGAGCGGAGAUGAGGUGCUUGCACCUUAUCUUAGCGGCGGACGGGUGAGAAAGGCUUAGGAAUCUGCCUAUUAGUGGGGGACAACAUUCCGAAAGGAAUGCUAAUACCGCAUACGUCCUACGGGAGAAAGCAGGGGAUCUUCGGACCUUGCGCUAAUGGAUGAGCCUAAGUCGGAUUAGCUAGUUGGUGGGGUAAAGGCCUACCAAGGCGACGAUCUGUAGCGGGUCUGAGAGGAUGAUCCGCCACACUGGGACUGAGACACGGCCCAGACUCCUACGGGAGGCAGCAGUGGGGAAUAUUGGACAAUGGGGGGAACCCUGAUCCAGCCAUGCCGCGUGUGUGAAGAAGGCCUUAUGGUUGUAAAGCACUUUAAGCGAGGAGGAGGCUACUGAGACUAAUACUCUUGGAUAGUGGACGUUACUCGCAGAAUAAGCACCGGCUAACUCUGUGCCAGCAGCCGCGGUAAUACAGAGGGUGCGAGCGUUAAUCGGAUUUACUGGGCGUAAAGCGUGCGUAGGCGGCUUUUUAAGUCGGAUGUGAAAUCCCCGAGCUUAACUUGGGAAUUGCAUUCGAUACUGGGAAGCUAGAGUAUGGGAGAGGAUGGUAGAAUUCCAGGUGUAGCGGUGAAA
rnacentral:rRNA from 1 species